rnacentral:rRNA from 1 species
CUACGGGGCGCUGCAGUGAGGAAUAUUGCACAAUGGGGGGAACCCUGAUGCAGCAACGCCGCGUGGAGGAUGACGCAUUUCGGUGUGUAAACUCCUUUUAUAUGUCAAGAAAAUGACGGUAGCAUAUGAAUAAGCACCGGCUAACUCCGUGCCAGCAGCCGCGGGAACACGGAGGGUGCAAGCGUUACUCGGAAUCACUGGGCGUAAAGGACGCGUAGGCGGGUUGGAAAGUCAGGUGUGAAAUCCUACAGCUUAACUGUAGAACUGCACUUGAAACUUCUAAUCUAGAGUAUGGGAGGGGGAGAUGGAAUUAGUGGUGUAGGGGUAAAAUCCGUAGAUAUCACUAGGAAUACCUAAAGCGAAGGCGAUCUCCUGGAACAUUACUGACGCUAAGGCGUGAAAGCGUGGGGAGCAAACAGGAUUAGAUACCCCCGUAGUC